rnacentral:rRNA from 1 species
UACGAAGGGGGCUAGCGUUGUUCGGCUUUACUGGGCGUAAAGCGCACGUAGGCGGAUCGAUCAGUCAGGGGUGAAAUCCCAGAGCUCAACUCUGGAACUGCCUUUGAUACUGGGUGUCUUGAGUAUGGAAGAGGUGAGUGGAAUUCCGAGUGUAGAGGUGAAAUUCGUAGAUAUUCGGAGGAACACCAGUGGCGAAGGCGGCUCACUGGUCCAUUACUGACGCUGAGGUGCGAAAGCGUGGGGAGCAAACAGG